rnacentral:rRNA from 1 species
UCUAAGGAAUAAGCCUCGGCUAACUCCGUGCCAGCAGCCGCGGUAAGACGGAGGAUGCAAGCGUUAUCCGGAAUUAUUGGGCGUAAAGCGUCUGUAGGUGGUUUACUCAGUCCGCUGUGAAAGAUCAGGGCUUCACCCUGAACACGCGGUGGAAACCGGUAGACUUGAGUACGGUGGGGGCAGAGGGAAUUCCCGGUGGAGCGGUGAAAUGCGUAGAGAUCGGGAAGAACACCAAUAGCGAAAGCACUCUGCUGGGCCGUAACUGACACUGAGAGACGAAAGCUAGGGUAGCGAAUGGGAUUAGAUACCCCAGUAGUCCUAGCCGUAAACGAUGGAUACUAAGUGCUGUGCAUUCGACCAGUACUGUAGCUAACGCGUUAAGUAUCCCGCCGGGGGAGUAUGCUCGCAAGAGUGAAACUCAAAGGAAUUGACG